GUGGGGAAUAUUGGACAAUGGGCGAAAGCCUGAUCCAGCCAUGCCGCGUGUGUGAAGAAGGUCUUCGGAUUGUAAAGCACUUUAAGUUGGGAGGAAGGGCAGUAAGUUAAUACCUUGCUGUUUUGACGUUACCGACAGAAUAAGCACCGGCUAACUUCGUGCCAGCAGCCGCGGUAAUACGAAGGGUGCAAGCGUUAAUCGGAAUUACUGGGCGUAAAGCGCGCGUAGGUGGUUUUGUAAGUUGGAGGUGAAAUCCCCGGGCUCAACCUGGGAACUGCCUCAAAAACUGCAUGACUAGAGUACGGUAGAGGGUAGUGGAAUUUCCUGUGUAGCGGUGAAAUGCGUAGAUAUAGGAAGGACCACCAGUGGCGAAGGCGACUACCUGGACUGAUACUGACACUGAGGUGCGAAAGCGUGGGGAGCAAACAGGAUUAGAAACCCGAGUAGUCC
rnacentral:rRNA from 1 species